GACGAACGCUGGCGGCGUGCUUAACACAUGCAAGUCGAGCGGAAAGGCCCUUCGGGGUACUCGAGCGGCGAACGGGUGAGUAACACGUGAGUAAUCUGCCCUUGGCUUCGGGAUAGCCACCGGAAACGGUGAUUAAUACCGGAUACGACCACUCCUGGCAUCAGGUGGUGGUGGAAAGUUUUUCGGCCAGGGAUGUGCUCGCGGCCUAUCAGCUUGAUGGUGAGGUAAUGGCUCACCAUGGCUUCGACGGGUAGCCGGCCUGAGAGGGUGACCGGUCACACUGGGACUGAGACACGGCCCAGACUCCUACGGGAGGCAGCAGUGGGGAAUAUUGGACAAUGGGCGGAAGCCUGAUCCAGCAACGCCGCGUGGGGGAUGACGGCCUUCGGGUUGUAAACCUCUUUCAGCAGGGACGAAGCGCAAGUGACGGUACCUGCAGAAGAAGCACCGGCCAACUACGUGCCAGCAGCCGCGGUAAAAC
rnacentral:rRNA from 1 species